rnacentral:rRNA from 1 species
CCUACGGGUGGCAGCAGUGGGGAAUAUUGGGCAAUGGGCGCAAGCCUGACCCAGCAACGCCGCGUGAAGGAAGAAGGCUUUCGGGUUGUAAACUUCUUUUCUCAGGGACGAAGCAUGUGACGGUACCUGCUGAAUAAGCCACGGCUAACUACGUGCCAGCAGCCGCGGUAAUACGUAGGUGGCAAGCGUUAUGCGGAUUUACUGGGUGUAAAGGGCGUGUAGGCGGGACUGCAAGUCAGAUGUGAAAACCACGGGCUCAACCUGUGGCCUGCAUUUGAAACUGUAGUUCUUGAGUACUGGGGAGGCAGACGGAAUUCCUGGUGUAGCGGUGAAAUGCGUAGAUAUUAGGAGGAACACCAGUGGCGAAGGCGGUCUGCUGGACAGCAACUGACGCUGAGGCGCGAAAGCGUGGGGAGCAAACAGGAUUAGAUACCCCUGUAGUC